rnacentral:rRNA from 1 species
GACGAACGCUGGCGGCGUGCUUAACACAUGCAAGUCGAACGGAGUGGCGAACGGGUGAGUAACACGUGGGUGAUCUGCCUUGCCCUCCGGGAUAAGCUUGGGAUACUGGGUAUAAUCCAGGAUCGUGCAAGAUGAGCUCGCGGCCUAUCAGCUUGUUGGUUGGGUGAUGGCCUACCAAUGGGUCGACGGGUAGCCGGCCUGCGAGGGUGUACAGCCACAGUGGGACUAAGAGACGGCCCAGACUCCUACGGGGGGCAGCAGUUGGGAGUAUGGCACAAUGGGGGGAAGCCGGAUGCAGCGACGCGGCGUGGGUGAUGAAGGCCUUCGGGUUGUAAACUCCUUUCGACAGGGACGCGGUACCUGUAGAAGAAGCACCGGCUAACUACGUGCCAGCAGCCGCGGUAAUAC